UACAGAGGGUGCGAGCGUUGUCCGGAAUCACUGGGCGUAAAGGGCGCGUAGGCGGCUUGAUAAGCGUGCGGUGAAAGCCCGGGGCUCAACCCCGGGUCGGCCGUGCGAACUGUCGAGCUGGAGCACUGUAGAGGCAGGUGGAAUUCCGGGUGUAGCGGUGGAAUGCGUAGAGAUCCGGAAGAACACCGGUGGCGAAAGCGGCCUGCUGGGCAGUGGCUGACGCUGAGGCGCGACAGCGUGGGGAGCAAACAGG
rnacentral:rRNA from 1 species